rnacentral:rRNA from 1 species
UUUAAUUAAAAUUAAAACCAAGAUUUAUUUA